rnacentral:RNase_P_RNA from 1 species
AGAGUCGGCCGGGUAAUCGCUCCCGCACGUCGGGGGAGGAAAGUCCGGGCUCCGCAGGGCAGGGUGCCAGGUAACGCCUGGGCGCCGCGAGGCGACGGAAAGUGCCACAGAGAGCAGACCGCCGAUGGCCGGCAACGGCACAGGCAAGGGUGAAAGGGUGCGGUAAGAGCGCACCGCGCGGCUGGCAACGGUUCGCGGCACGGUAAACCCCACCCGGAGCAAGAUCAAAUAGGGGAGUUAGGGGAAACCCAGCGUGCGGCCCGCACGCCGCUCCCGGGUAGAUCGCUGGAGGCGUACAGCGAUGUACGUCCUAGAGGAAUGAUUACCCUCGACAGAACCCGGCUUACAGGCCGACUCUCCCA